AACGAACGCUGGCGGCAGGCCUAACACAUGCAAGUCGAGCGAAGCCUUCGGGCUUAGCGGUGGACGGGCGAGUAACGCGUGGGAACGUGCCCUUUGGUACGGAAUAGCCCCGGGAAACUGGGAGUAAUACCGUAUGUGGUCGAGAGACGAAAGAUUUAUCGCCAAAGGAUCGGCCCGCGUUGGAUUAGGUAGUUGGUGGGGUAAUGGCCUACCAAGCCGACGAUCCAUAGCUGGUUUGAGAGGAUGAUCAGCCACACUGGGACUGAGACACGGCCCAGACUCCUACGGGAGGCAGCAGUGGGGAAUCUUAGACAAUGGGGGAAACCCUGAUCUAGCCAUGCCGCGUGAGCGAUGAAGGCCUUAGGGCUGUAAAGCUCUUUCAGUGGGGAAGAUAAUGACGGUACCCACAGAAGAAGCCCCGGCUAACUCCGUGCCAGCAGCCGCCGUAAUAC
rnacentral:rRNA from 1 species